UCCUUGUUAGUACAAUGGCUAGUAUAGGGCACUCUCAAGCAUGACUUGGUCGUGAUCUGCUCAGAUCGGGGUUCAAUUCCCCGGCAGGGAA